rnacentral:lncRNA from 1 species
AGGAGACUUUGUAGUGCUUUUAUCUACUGGACUUUCAUUUUCCAAAGCGUUAUGGAUAAAUUUCCUGAGUGGUUUGACCUGCUUUGUGGGCCUUUAUAUUGGGAUCAUAAUUGGAGACGAUGAAGUUGCAAGGAAAUGGAUAAUGGGAGUUACAGCUGGAAUUUUUCUGUAUGUUGCCCUAGGAGAAAUGCUUCCAGAACUCAGAGAGCAUCAACAUGGGAGUCCUGUAAAGAUGCUUUUAAUAAAAAACUUAGGCAUAUUAGCUGGAAUAACAAUCAUGCUUGUAAUAUCGAUCUAUGAACACGAUAUUGUUUGAUUAUACAAAAGUGAAUACUAGUGCAUAUCAAACUAUGAUGCUUUUACGCAUGUAUAAUUUUGUGCAGAUAAAAGACUGCCAUGCUAAGUCUUCCAGUUCACUGAUGGUGAUAUUAUACGCUGCAGUAAAUAUAUCACAGCAGAAUCUUAAAUUAUCUGGGCAAAAUUAUAUGAUUUGUUUUAAAUAUGAAAUGUGAUAAAUGUAUUAAUUACUGUGACAGUAAAUGUUGUAUAGUUAAGUAAUGCAUAUUUGUUUAUGGUCUGCAAUGAUAUUCAUGUUUUAAAAGCAUGUUUUAUUUUUAUUAAAGAUAUAGAUUUAGCUUUAUUUUACUAAUAUAUGAUAAAAAAUCUUAAAAUCUCCAGAAUGUUAUGACAGAGUUGGUUGACAUUCCAAUGAUCAGAAUCCAUUUCAUUUUUAUCACAACUUAUCAUAUUAUUUUAACUUAUAUGUUGUACACACUUCCAUCUACCAUUUUAUGAUAACGGUCACAGAACUCACAUAUUUGUGUUUGGUAGCUUGUAGAAUGAGAGUUUUAGUCCCAACAUGAACAAAAUUUAGAAUGAACAUUCCUUCCAAAAUAAAGUUUUAGAUGUAAAGGAAGCAUGCCAACUUGAAAUUAGUCAUUAAUGAACCUGAAAAUGCCGUUAAGUUUUCGCAUGUCGUUUGAGAGAAUGUAAGUUUCACGAUGCCUGCCAAAAACAUAGCGGAAGAAAAUGUCUUGGAGAAAACAAAGCAAGGCAAAAAGAUCAUCGUACCAAAAAAAAAAAAAAAAAAAAAAAAAGGAGAAAAUAAUUUUCUCUCAGAAAUGCAAAGAGUAUAGAACAUUGUCGAAAAUAAAGCGGUUCAAAAACAUCGUCGUAGAAAAGACCGGGGUAAAAAAGAAAGCUCCUACAAAUCAUUGCAUGACAAUAAUAUUGCAGACAUAUGUUUUUUAAGCUUUAAAAGUUCUAAAUGUAUAUUCCCAUAAUGAUUUAUGAGAGCAAGAAGGAAUGAGGAACAUUGUUAAUUCUAUAGGUACUUUUCUGUUAUCGUGACUGGAGUCUGAAAUGUAGGUAGGCAUGGAUGUGUGUGUUCAUGUAUGCAUAUAUAAAAGUAUGCAUGUAUGUGUGUGUGUACACAAAAGAGUACCGUUCUAUAUUUCAUAUUUUUUAUAUAAGUAGUAUUUUUUGCUAAAAACGGCAAGAAGGAAACUUAAGCAUUCAAAAAUUGAAAGUGAACUAGUUAUUUAAACAACUUUAAGUAAACUGAACUAAUUAAUUAAACAGUUUUAAUAUAGGUUAUUUCAUGCAGUUACUUGUCUUCCCUUUUCUAAUCUUUUUUAAACUAUAAUUUUCUUGAAAACUACCAGGACACCUUUAUAAAAAGAGGUUAAUUAAAUAAUGAGCUUUAAUAAUUAAAUACAUAAUUUUGAAGUUCUAAUAACUGUUAUGCAUAGCACUGAUGUUAAACUCAUUUUCACUUUUCAAAUUCUUAAGUUUCCUUCUUACUUUUUUAGCAAAAAAAUUAAUUAAUCCCAAAAUACGAAAUAUUGAAGUAAAAGCAUUCUUCAUUCCUUCUUGCACUUACAAACUAUUAUGAGAAUAUAUGUUUACAACUUUUAUUUCCUGAAAAGCACGUGUCUGCUAUAUUAUCAUGAUGUGAUCAUUUCGUAGGUGCUUCAUUUUUUACCACGAUAUUUUCUACGACAAUGUUUUCUGUUUGCUUUCUUUUCUUUCACUAUGUUUUGUACAAUGGUGAUUUUGCCUUGCAUUGUUUUCUCCGCGACGUUUUCGCCUGUAACCGGGUCUCUCUUCUUCAGCCCCUAAUAUUUUGUAAUUAAAGAGCAGCCCCUAAUAUUUUCUUUUUCUGAAAUAUGGAUGAAUUAAUGUUAUGUAGUCUUAUAUUAUUACUUAAGAAACAUUAUACUACCAGAAAGUUUGGAAUUCAUGCAGAACCGCUUUUAAACAUUUUGCUGCCCUGUUCAAUUAAUCUCUGUGGGUUCUAAAUUAUAUUGCCCAGCACCACUCUAAAUUCUAAGCAUUUUGCCAUCUCUAAAUUUUGCUGUUAAAGCCUAAACAUUUUUGCUGCCCAUAAAUUGUGCUGCUAGGUGCAACCACAUGUGUUGUAUAGGCUCUGGUGCCGGCCCUGACUUAAUGUUAAAUUUCGUAGAGACUUUUUGUCUUCCAACAAAAAUGAGCUUAAAUUUUUGCAUUUGUUUAUAAAGAUGUGCCCUGUACUGAAAUUAAAAUAUUAAAUAAAUAACAUUACAUAUAUUUUAUCAACACUCAUGCAUGUUCCAGAAGUUAUUGAAAUAAAUUGCUUCACAAAUGUAACUCAAGAAAUGAUUGCACAGGGCUUUGACCUAACAUCGUACUUACAAUGGAAUGUAUCCAAUUAAAUAAUUAUUACCAAUAAAUAACAAAUACUACUCUUAUUUAGAAUUUCAGUUGUCCUCUUAAAAUUCUUGUCCUUUAUUUUUAAGGUGCAGGCACUUGUUCCUUUGUAAUUUAUUACUUGUACAUCUGUUUAUUUAUUUGUGUAUUGAUAUUUAUUUAUUCAUGGAUAAAAUUUAUAGCAAUUUUUUUAAACUAACAUGCUUAUUUAAAAAGAAACUGGCUUUAGGUAUUGAUAAGCCCUUUUGAAAAUUCUUUAUAGAAUUUUAUUUAAAAAAAAAUCCGAUAUUAAACUUCUUUAAAAUCCUUUAGGAUUAAAGCCUAAUUUUCUAUAAAUUAGAUUAGAAUUCUAUGCAAUUUCAGAUAUAUUUUCUAUAAUCUAUAUAUCUACACACCUAUAGAAUCUGUAUACGUAGAGAUUCUAUAGAUGUGUAGGCAUAUAGUGAUUUGAGCAAAGCUUCUGUAAAAAGACAGUACAGUUUUUAAAGCUUUCACACAUCUUGCAUAAUGUCUAUAGGAUCAACGAAUAUAAUUCUACUGAAAAUAUCAAAUCCAGUAUAUGGAAAAAUGGGCUACAAUCCUAACUAAUUCAAAUAUGUUUGUUUCCAUUAAUUUUCAAUAAAAGAUCCUAUUUGAGUGUUUAAAAACAUUAUAAAAUCAACAAAGUUUUCUUUUGGGAAAAAAAAAGAAUGAAUUACGUUUCCAUUUUUUUACAGAAUUUGUUCACCUUUUACUAAAUUUUGAAAUUAUCUGUGAUAUGGAAAGGCUUUUAGAACAGGUGGAAAUAUGUAAAUAAAAGUAAAUACAUUUUAAAUAAUAAUAAUUCUUAACUAAAAGUAACAAACCAUUUGUCUUAUCAGGAAUACAUAUACAAAAACUAAAAGUAUUAAUUUCAGAAAUUAAAAUUUAUAAUUAACAGCAUAGAUUUAAUCUUUUUAAUUAGUUUUAUGAUUUAAACUGAUUUUAUGCUUUUAUGAGAUUUAACUUUUGUAUUAUGUAAGCAACACAAUAAAAAUCGCAGUACAAAUUGUUACAUAAAUUUAGAAGCUAAAAUCAUUAAGCUAGAGGAGGGAAAAAUGGAAAAUUUGCUCUAAAAAAUGAUUCAGUAUUUAUGAACAAAACAUGUUUAUUUUUCUUCUUUUAUAGCCCGUAUUAUCAGGAAAUAAACAUUUGUUUUGAUUCCAGUUUAAAAAAAAAAAAAAAAA